ensembl:misc_RNA 7SK 7SK RNA
AGGUAUGAGGGUUAUCUGACUGCAGUACCUGUCACUCUCCUGCACUGAUCACCCGGGUUGAUCUGGUUGUCCUGGCUGGCUAGGCUGACAUCCCCGUCCUCCCUCACUGCUCCAUGUGUGUCCCUCCCAAAGCUGGCAACAGGUCGAAGAGACAACCAGUCCCGACAGAGGCAGGCGAUCUCUUUGGUGAAGGGUAUGCAAGUAGCUACACUGCCUGCUAGAACCUCCAUACAAGCUCUCCAAGAAUGGCUAACUGGGAAACUUUAUAUGCAUUUUACCAAGAUUUAAAAAUUAAUAGACCGGAUGUGGUGGCAUGCACCUGCAAUU